rnacentral:tRNA from 1 species
GCCUUGGUGGUUCAGUGGUAAAAUGUUUGCCUUCCAUGCAGGAGGCCCCUGUUCGAUUCCUGGCCAAGGUA